CCUACGGGUGGCAGCAGUGAGGAAUAUUGGUCAAUGGGCGCGAGCCUGAACCAGCCAAGUAGCGUGAAGGAUGACGGCCCUCCGGGUUGUAAACUUCUUUUAUAAAGGAAUAAAGAGAGGCACGUGUGCCUUUUUGUAUGUACUUUAUGAAUAAGGAUCGGCUAACUCCGUGCCAGCAGCCGCGGUAAUACGGAGGAUCCGAGCGUUCUCCGGAUUUAUUGGGUUUAAAGGGAGCGUAGAUGGGUUGUUAAGUCAGGUGUGAAAGUUUUCGGCUCAACCGUAAAAGUGCAAUUGAUACUGGCAGGCUUGAGUGCAGUAGAGGUAGGCGGAAUUCGUGGUGUAGCGGUGAAAUGCUUAGAUAUCACGAAGAACUCCGAUUGCGAAGGCAGCUUACUAAGCUGCCACUGACAUUGAUGCUCGAAAGUGUGGGUAUCAAACAGGAUUAGAUACCCGAGUAGUC
rnacentral:rRNA from 1 species